ACUUCCAGCAGCUCUUCCGGAUCCGGGGAUGAGUACCUGGAAGUGACUGCCAGGGAGUACUACCGGCUACAACGGCCAGAAAAACGCAGACAAGCGUCCAUCACGGAUUUCUUCAAGGUGAAGAGGAGGCGGCUUCUACAUUAUAAGGGCUCAUCCCGGCAGUAGGAGCGCCGCGUCGACCACGUGUACAUAUGUAGCAUUGAAUACAUAUAUUCGAUAUACUGUUUUCUUCGGCUUUUUCGCUAUACUGUGAAAUGAUAUAUUACGUGCACUCUUACGGACAACAAACGGACCGGGGAGAGGAUUUUUCAAGCGGCGAGCUCGCCUUGCCUCUCGUAAGAAGUUUUGAUAAGAUGAGUUCCUCUUCCUGGCCCCCCGUGCCACACGGCGUCGUCGUUUCACACCCCCACCACGAGGUCAAAACCUCACCCGGGGUAUAAAAAAAAAAAAAAUCGAAAUAGCGCGCUAUUAAUUUGCUCCAGGUUUGUUUGAGAUCAAUGGUGGAGGUUCAACGAUGAGGUCAUGUGGUUUGACGAAUAAUUCCAAUCGUAAUAAUCAUGACUAUUUAUUUAUUUUUACACGAUGCUAGAUCGUAUUGAAAAAAAAAAAGACCCACAAUGUGUAAAACGACGUAAAAGAAGAUGUUUGUGGAUCCGCGUGCCAUCGCCCCCAAAAUUGUGUGAUUAUGACUCCACCGUUGCCACGAGGAAAUUUCUAUUCAACAACACGACGCAAAAAAAAAAUCACACUCUGUACUCGCUUCUAACUUUGUAUUCUUCACCUUAAGGGGUAUAUAACAACAUCUUUUGCAUUUUGGCGGCAGUCCAAGACAAACCUUACUUAGUUUUGGGUUAUUUCCAGCUUGACGCUUUUGAAUCAUGUAGCAUGGAAAAUGUAAAUGGUAUGUUCUCUGUUGAAGAUUUUACCCGCAAACUACACGAUUCAAAUUUAUGGUUUUAAAAGCUAUAAGUUGGAUGAACCCCUCACUACCUCAAAUACACA